AGGGUUACAGGAAGAAGAGCUUACUGACUAGCUGCAGAACCCAGAUAUACUAUUGGACACUGACCAGCCUGAUGAACAGCUCUCACUUCCUCUUGGGUUACAAGACAAAGAAAUGGGAUUCUUAAAAGUAUCUUUAAGACAAGUGCAUCCUUACUACUUGGAGAAAUAUGGGAAGAGCGGUAAAUGUGUUGGAGGAAUUGAAGAAUUGAUGACAGAUGAUCAUAAAAGACAAAGGCACCACCAUCUCUGGGAGAGCUCCUGACCAAGGAAAGGGACAGUCGCCAUCUUGCUGGAAGACUGUGGGUGAGACAGACCAUCUUAAACAAAGCCUUGAACCAAAACUAGCUAGUUUAAGUUUUAGAUUUUCAAAUGUGUUUUCACUUUUAUUUGCU